rnacentral:rRNA from 1 species
AUUGAACGCUGGCGGCAGGCCUAACACAUGCAAGUCGAACGAGUGGCGGACGGGUGAGUAAUGUCUGGGAAACUGCCUGAUGGAGGGGGAUAACUACUGGAAACGGUAGCUAAUACCGCAUACCAUCGGAUGUGCCCAGAUGGGAUUAGCUAGUAGGUGGGGUAAAGGCUCACCUAGGCGACGAUACCUAGCUGGUCUGAGAGUAUGACCAUGCACACUUGAAAUUGGCCACGGGCCAGACUCCCACGGGGGGCGGCAGUGGGGGAGAUUGCACCAUGGGGGCAAGCCCGAUGCAGCCAUGCCGAGUGUAUGAAGAAGGGCUUCGGGGUGUAAAGGUCUUUCCGCGGGGAGGCGUUACCCGCAGAAAAAGGACCCGCUAACUCCGUUGCAGCAGCCGCGGUAAUAC